GAUGAAGAACGUAGCGAAAUGCGAUAAGUAAUGCGAAUUGCAGAAUUUCCGUGAGUCAUCGAAUCUUUGAACGCACAUUGCGCCCACUGGUAUUCCGGUGGGCAUGCCUGUUCGAGCGUCAUUAUCCUCCCUCAAACCUCGGGUUUGGUGUUGGACCCAAGUUGUGUGAACAACUGGUCUUAAAGACAAUGACGGCGUCCGUGGGACCCUCAGUGCAACGAGCUUUUAGGAGCACGCGCCGAGUUUCAAGGACCUUCCGGGCCGGUCUCCUUUACCAUUUUACAAGGUUGACCUCGGAUCAGGUAGGAAUACCCGCUGAACUUAAGCAUAUCAAUAAGCGGAGGA
rnacentral:misc_RNA from 1 species